rnacentral:rRNA from 1 species
CAAAAGCGUCUAUUAAAGUUGUUGCAGUUAAAAAGCUCGUAGUUGAACCUUGGGCUUGGCUGGCCGGUCCAUCUUUUUUGAUGCGUACUGGACCCAGCCGAGCCUUUCCUUCUGGCUAGCCUUUUGGCGAACCAGGACUUUUACUUUGAAAAAAUUAGAGUGUUCAAAGCAGGCCUUUGCUCGAAUAUAUUAGCAUGGAAUAAUAGAAUAGGACGUUAUGGUUCUAUUUUGUUGGUUUCUAGGACCAUCGUAAUGAUUAAUAGGGACGGUCGGGGGUAUCAGUAUUCAGUUGUCAGAGGUGAAAUUCUUGGAUUUACUGAAGACUAACUACUGCGAAAGCAUUUACCAAGGACGUUUUCAUUAA